rnacentral:rRNA from 1 species
UACGUAGGGUGCGAGCGUUAAUCGGAAUUACUGGGCGUAAAGCGUGCGCAGGCGGUUUUGUAAGCCAGAUGUGAAAGCCCCGGGCUCAACCUGGGAAUUGCAUUUGAGACUGAAUAGCUAGGGUGCGGAAGAGGGAAGCGGAAUUUCCGGUGUAGCGGUGAAAUGCGUAGAUAUCGGAAGGAACACCAGUGGCGAAAGCG